UCUCUGGUAGUCCAGUGGUUAAGACUCUGUUCUCUCAGUGUAGGGGGCCCAGGUUCAAUUUCUGGUCAGGGAA
rnacentral:tRNA from 1 species